rnacentral:misc_RNA from 1 species
UUGUGGUUGGUACAGACUGUGUCAAGGC